ACAAGUCCCAGGGACUUGAAAUUUGUAAGGUGGGGUGUAGUCAGGCUCUAGAUGGUAUUCCUAGUUUGACACAGGAUGUUUGGAGCUGUGAAGUUCUCCUGCAGCCAUUUGACUUGUCUUAACUUUCUUUCAGAUGCAGCAGGAUAAAAUCCAUGGCAGAGCAUCCCAUCCUGGAUUAGGGGGCUCCCCAUAGCAGGAAGUAAAGCCAGAUAUCAGCAGUCAGGUUGAAGAGGGCAAGGUGAGCAGUGUCCAGUGGAAUGAAGCCUUUGUUAGUGCUCAAGUCUCACUUUCUGGUGCAGCUCUAAGCCUCCAUUCUCGUUUGUGUCCUUUAGGCAAUUCACUCGGAGUAUGCAAAGCUCCCGUCACGCACCGGCCGAUGGACUGGGUUUGCUGCUCUUGUGAGCCCUCUGGGAGCCUUACAGGACUCGGUGAUGAAGCCUUUGCCUUUUUUACUUAAAGGUGUCAUCUGGGUCACCUUUGGCAACAGCCAUGGAGUUGCGGUGAGUCGGGGAAGCAGGGAGGAGAAGGGAGGGUCUGCUCAGGUUUCAGCAAUGCCACAUCACCUCGUCUCCUCUUAACCCAGGCAUACCCUGCAACGACGGCGUGGCCUCCGAGCGCAGCAAAAGCAUGUGGCCCGAGGAGCUGGGCAUUCUCUGGAGAAGGCCGUCUAAGAGACAACGGCCCAGUGACAGCAGGAACUUCCCAGCCAGGAAGGCUGCCUUCCUUCACACCAGACAUGGAUCGGCAUCCCCAGAUGUCUGAGAUAAGUAGAGGGCUGUGACCCAGAGAGGGGAUGAAAGCAGGGUGCUGGGUCGGGACUCACCGGGAGGAGUUUUUGAGUCCGCUUUGGAGACGGGGAUGUGGAAGAAGCGGCCCCUUAGGCCACUGAAUGGGAAAGUGUCACUUUUGAUCACAUUGCUGAGGUGCUCAGGGCAGAGCAGUCCCGGUGCGUCUCAUGUCACUUGUCUGUUGUGCAUUCUGUGUGUUUGGGUAUGUCAUGCCUUUUUCCUUAGCCCUUUGAGGGGCCUGUCAGAGACCCAUGCAUCAUUCUUAGCAUCUGUGAUCUCUGCGUUCCUUGGCCUGGCACCGAUGCCAUAGAACUUUUGACUAGGGAGCUCAGAUAGGCAUCAGAAUCGCAUCUCUCUUUAGAAGCAUCCGGUCAGAUGUCUUUUCAGGUCUUGUUCUGAGCUGUAUGGACAGCUGCGCCCCGCAGGAUCCAUUGCGGCAGAUGAGGACUCGUAAGAAUGUGAGGACUGGUAGAGGAUUCUGACCAUAGGAUUCACAGGCAUCCAUCUUUGCAGUUCUUGAAAUAUAUCAUUCAGUUAGCAUCUUCUUCCUCCAGGGUUCUCUGAGCUUCAUCAGCUCGCCAUCGCCCUCU